GUCCAGGGGCGGGAAUCGAACCCACAACUUCUCCGCUUACCGGGCAGAUGCCAUGUCCACUAGGCUACCCUGGA
rnacentral:tRNA from 1 species